CUCUCUAUGUGUUUUCACAGAAACCCAGGCCCAGGGAGAACAUUUACCCCUCUUCCUACAUUUCAGAGCUGAAAAUGUCGGAAUUGUCAUGGUAAUGCCCAUAGUUGAUGUGACAGAUACUGAGAAGGAAAAACACGCUUGCCACAUGUGAAAACUGCCUGGUUGGUUCUGCUCUGAGUGCCUCUCUGGAGGGCACAUUGAUGGAUUUGACAAUCACUUAAUUCUACUAGAGCCUGACCUUCAGUCUGGAAGUCAGAUAUACGCAGCAGAGACGUAGAUGAUAGCCGCAGGCUGCUGCUGGUGGGAAGCUGACAGAGUCCACUUUAAAGGACUGCCUUCAGUACCAUCUACAUUCUUCUACCUGGGACUGUGUGUGGCCAUGCGGACAGGCUCUCACCUUCACUAAACAAUUCAACUGCUGAAUUCCAACUAUCACGACAACCAUUUACACCAGUAAAAUGAACCAGAGAAGUCAGUGUAUCAGAACCUAAGACGGGAAAACUCUAUUGGAUUUCCUUUUACCUUAACUCUUAGUCCCUGCUUGCAGCUGAACCUCGGAGAGCAAUCAGCAUUCAAUGUUCUGUAGUAUAAGGAUCCUCCAGCAGAUCAUCUCUAGAGCUAGCUCUGACUUCUGCUCCCAGAGUCACCAUGGUGGUUAAGUAUGAAUUUGAUGGUCAUCUGGAAUCAGAAUUUAGUGGAAAAAGUGGGGACUCUACCGAACCUUAAAACAGACCCAGCUUUCCUCCUUCCUGUGGAUGCUCUCCACCUCUCACUGGAGCCUCCAUGUCAGCCACCUAUUCAUGGAGGCACUCUCCACCUGAGAACCCCCUGCUACACCUGCCUGGGAUUCAGAAGCAAGAAAUACACACUGGAAAAAAAAGAUGGCAUUGUCAAAAACUGGUGCUGCUCAAACUGGAUGGCUGCAUAAUAGAAAAAUGCAAAUAGAUUCAUGCUUAUCACUUGCGCAAGCUCAACUCCAAGUGGAUCAGAGAUCUCAAAACAAGAUAUGCUGAGCCUGAUAGAAGAAAAGUGGGGAAUAGUUUUGAAUCAUCGGCACAGAAUUACAUGUGUCUGUGUUGUCUCCCCAGAGGCAGAGACGGAGAUUGACUGAACCACCAUUCAGAUGGUGCUAUUAAAUUCCAGGAGGUACUUCUGGUGGUGAGUUCUCCAUCACCACUCAGCAUUCCUAGCCAUCAGUCACUGGUGAACGAGGAGAGAGAGGGUGGGGAGAGGGGACCUGACAUACCACAUUCUGUUCAGCUCAUGACUUAGAGCUGAACAGCAGCGUGUGCUGGUACAGGGGCAGAUGAUCUGAUUCUGGCACUGGGAAUCUGUGUUUUAGGCAUCACUUUUAUAAUUUAAGUAAAACUGAGGAUUCAAAAAC
rnacentral:lncRNA from 1 species